ACCUGGAAACCAGAGCCGGGGACCGCAAGGCCUGGCGCUUGAAGAGGAGCCCGCGUCCGAUUAGCUAGUUGGCGGGGUAAUGGCCCACCAAGGCGACGAUCGGUAGCCGGCCUGAGAGGGCGGACGGCCACACUGGAACUGAGACACGGUCCAGACUCCUACGGGAGGCAGCAGUGGGGAAUUGUUCACAAUGGGCGCAAGCCUGAUGACGCAACGCCGCGUGGGGGAUGAAGGUCUUCGGAUUGUAAACCCCUGUCGAACGGGACGAAAGACUCGGGAGCUAAUCAUNUCGAGAGUGACGGUACCGUUAAAG
rnacentral:rRNA from 1 species